UACGUAGGGGGCAAGCGUUGUCCGGAUUUAUUGGGCGUAAAGAACGUGUAGGCGGCCUGACAGGUCUGCUGUGAAAACUCGAGGCUCAACCUCGAGAUGUCGGCGGAAACCGUCUGGCUAGAGUCCGGAAGAGGAGAGUGGAAUUCCUGGUGUAGCGGUGAAAUGCGCAGAUAUCAGGAAGAACACCUAUGGCGAAGGCAGCUCUCUGGGACGGUACUGACGCUGAGACGCGAAAGCGUGGGGAGCGAACAGG
rnacentral:rRNA from 1 species